GCGGGGAAUAUUGGACAAUGGGCGAAAGCCUGAUCCAGCAAUGCCGCGUGAGUGAUGAAGGCCCUAGGGUUGUAAAGCUCUUUUACCAGGGAUGAUAAUGACAGUACCUGGAGAAUAAGCUCCGGCUAACUCCGAUCCAGCAGCCGCGGUAAUACGGAGGGAGCUAGCGUUGUUCGGAAUUACUGGGCGUAAAGCGCGCGUAGGCGGUUUCUUAAGUCAGAGGUGAAAGCCCGGGGCUCAACCCCGGAAUAGCCGUUGAAACUGGAAAACUUGAAUCUUGGAGAGGUCAGUGGAAUUCCGAAUGUAGAGGUGAAAUUCGUAGAUAUUCGGAAGAACACCAGUAGCGAAGGCGACUGACUGGACAAGUAUUGACGCUGAGGUGCGAAAGCGUGGGGAGCAAACAGGAUUAGAUACCCGGGUAGUCC
rnacentral:rRNA from 1 species